AGGACGAACGCUAGCGGCGUGUUUGAAACAUGCAAGUCGAACGGGAAGAGCAAUCUUUUAGUGGCGAACGGGUGCGUAACACGUAAAGAACCUAUCCAACAGUGGGGGAUAGCCUCUGGAAACGGGGGGUAAUACCGCAUACGGUAUAGAGCAGGCAUCUGCUUUAUAGGAAAGGGAUACGAAAGUAUUUC
rnacentral:rRNA from 1 species